GAAACGACUGCUAAUACCGCAUAAUCCCUGAGGGGGAAAGAUUUAUCGCUUUAAGAUUGGCCCGCGGAAGAUUAGGUAGUUGGUGGGGUAAAGGCCUACCAAGCCGACGAUCUAUAGCUGGUCUGAGAGGACGAACAGCCACAUUGGAACUGAGACACGGUCCAGACUCCUACGGGAGGCAGCAGUGAGGAAUAUUGGGCAAUGGAGGAAACUCUGACCCAGCCAUGCCGCGUGAGUGAAGAAGGUUUUCGAAUUGUAAAGCUCUUUCGGAUGGGACGAUGAUGACGGUACCAUCUAAAGAAGCCCCGGCAAACUUCGUGCCAGCAGCCGCGGUAAUACGAAGGGGGCAAGCGUUGUUCGGAAUUACUGGGCGUAAAGGGUGUGUAGGCGGAUUUGUAAGAUAGUGGUGAAAUACCUGAGCUCAACUUAGGAAUUGCCAUUAUAACUAUAGAUCUGGAGUGACAGAGAGGAUAUUGGAAUACCCAGUGUAGAGGUGAAAUUCGUAGAUAUUGGGUAGAACACCAGUGGCGAAGGCGAGUAUCUGGCUGUCAACUGACGCUGAGGCACGAAAGCAUGGGGAUCAAACAGGAUUAGAUACCCUGGUAGUCCAUGCUGUAAAAGAGGAAUGCUAGUUGUCGGCAAAAGCCGGUG
rnacentral:rRNA from 1 species